UGGGGAAUAUUGGACAAUGGGCGAAAGCCUGAUCCAGCAAUGCCGCGUGAGUGAUGAAGGCCUUAGGGUUGUAAAGCUCUUUUACCCGGGAUGAUAAUGACAGUACCGGGAGAAUAAGCCCCGGCUAACUCCGUGCCAGCAGCCGCGGUAAUACGGAGGGGGCUAGCGUUGUUCGGAAUUAUUGGGCGUAAAGGGCGCGUAGGCGGCUAGGCAAGUCAGGUGUGAAAGCCCCGGGCUUAACUCGGGAAUUGCACCUGAAACUGCUGUGCUUGAGUUCUGGAGGGGGUAGUGGAAUUCCCAGUGUAGCGGUGAAAUGCGUAGAUAUUGGGAGGAACACCUGUGGCGAAGGCGGCUACCUGGACAGAGACUGACGCUGAGGCGCGAAAGCUAGGGGAGCGAA
rnacentral:rRNA from 1 species